AUUGAACGCUGGCGGCAGGCCUAACACAUGCAAGUCGAGCGAAUGAAGGGAGCUUGCUCCUGGAUUCAGCGGCGGACGGGUGAGUAAUGCCUAGGAAUCUGCCUGGUAGUGGGGGAUAACGUCCGGAAAUGGGCGCUAAUACCGCAUACGUCCUGAGGGAGAAAGUGGGGGAUCUUCGGACCUCACGCUAUUAGAUGAGCCUAGGUCGGAUUAGCUAGUUGGUGGGGUAAAGGCCUACCAAGGCGACGAUCCGUAACUGGUCUGAGAGGAUGAUCAGUCACACUGGAACUGAGACACGGUCCAGACUCCUACGGGAGGCAGCAGUGGGGAAUAUUGGACAAUGGGCGAAAGCCUGAUCCAGCCAUGCCGCGUGUGUGAAGAAGGUCUUCGGAUUGUAAAGCACUUUAAGUUGGGAGGAAGGGCAGUAAGUUAAUACCUUGCUGUUUUGACGUUACCAACAGAAUAAGCACCGGCUAACUUCGUG
rnacentral:rRNA from 1 species